GCCAGAGUGGUGUAGUGGUAUAAGCAUUGGACUAGGACACUGAGAGACCAGGGUUCAAAUCCCUGCUUGGCCA